UCGCGAAUCAUUCACAAUGGACGCAAGUCUGAUGAUGCCACGCCGCGUGCGGGAUGAAGGCCCUUUGGGUUGUAAACCGCUGUCAAGGGAGGGGAAACACCUAGUGUUAACAGCGCUAGGCUUGACUGCUCCCUAAAGGAAGCCCCGGCAAAACAUGUGCCAGCAGCCGCGGUAAUACAUGUGGGGCAAGCGUUGUUCGGAAUUACUGGGCAUAAAGGGUGCGUAGGCGGUUUGUUAAGUCACUGGUGAAAGUUUGCGGCCCAACCGUAAAAUUGCCUGUGAUACUGGCGAACUUGAGUGCGUGAGGGGUAGGGGGAACGAGCAGUGUAGCGGUGAAAUGCGUAGAUAUUGCUCGGAAGGCCGGAGCCGAAGGGGCCCUACUGGUACGUAACUGACGCUGAGGCACGAAAGCGUGGGGAGCAAACAGGAUUAGAUACCCCAGUAGUCCCUGAGCGGGCUGGCAAGGCGCAU
rnacentral:rRNA from 1 species